AGUCGGAUAGCUGGGUCAAAUGGUGGCUCUAUUCCCAGUUUUCCAAAGAAAUCUCCAUACUGCUUUCCACAUUGGCUGUACCAAUUUGCAGUCCCACCAGCAAU
rnacentral:pre_miRNA from 1 species